rnacentral:lncRNA from 1 species
CGCUUUUUUUGUUUCUUCUUCAGAGGAGAAGUAGGUUGAGUCUCUUCACUGCUGAUGGCUUCUGCCUCUUAACCCGUUGUCCCUUUUUCAUUGGUAGUCGAGGCCGUGUCCUUGCUAUUGUACUCUGAAGCCUCCAAGACUAAUGUGGUCUUGGGUUGCAUUUAUCUAUCCUGGAGUUGCUUUAGAAUUUUGGAUUUUACCUCCCAAUCCUCUUAACUGUGC